GAUGAACGCUAGCGGGAGGCCUAACACAUGCAAGCCGAGCGGUAUUGUUUCUUCGGAAAUGAGAGAGCGGCGUACGGGUGCGUAACACGUGUGCAACCUGCCUUUAUCUGGGGGAUAGCCUCUCGAAAGGAAGAUUAAUACUCCAUAAUAUAUUGAACGGCAUCGUGUAAUAUUGAAAGCUCCGGCGGAUAGAGAUGGGCACGCGCAAGAUUAGCUAGUUGGUGAGGUAACGGCUCACCAAGGCGAUGAUCUUUAGGGGGCCUGAGAGGGUGAUCCCCCACACUGGUACUGAGACACGGACCAGACUCCUACGGGAGGCAGCAGUGAGGAAUAUUGGUCAAUGGGUGCAAGACUGAACCAGCCAUCCCGCGUGAAGGACGACUGCCCUAUGGGUUGUAAACUUCUUUUGUAUAGGGAUAAACCUACCCUCGUGAGGGUAGCUGAAGGUACUAUACGAAUAAGCACCGGCUAACUCCGUGCCAGCAGCCGCCGUAACAC
rnacentral:rRNA from 1 species